UAUAAAAUAGUGUAAAAGGCACGUUAAAUUUUGAUUUUAAAAGACAAGUUUAAUUCUUGAUUUUAUAA
rnacentral:tRNA from 1 species